UAAUAAAAGGUAAGCUACGAAGAGCGAAUGGUGGAUGCCUUGACUGGUAAAGGCGAUGAAGGACGUACUAGACUGCGAUAAGCUACGGGGAGCUGUCAAGAAGCUUUGAUCCGUAGAUUUCCGAAUGGGGCAACCCAAUGUAUAGAGAUAUACAUUACCUAUAGUAGGAGCGAACGAGGGGAAUUGAAACAUCUUAGUACCCUCAGGAAAAGAAAUCAAUAGAGAUUGCGUCAGUAGCGGCGAGCGAAAGCGCAAGAGGGCAAACCCAGUGCUUGCACUGGGGGUUGUAGGACUGCAAUGUGCAAGAGCUGAGUUUAGCAGAACAUUCUGGAAAGUAUAGCCAUAGAGGGUGAUAGUCCCGUAUGCGAAAAACAAAGCUUAGCUAGCAGUAUCCUGAGUAGGGCGGGACACGAGGAAUCCUGUCUGAAUCCGGGUCGACCACGAUCCAACCCUAAAUACUAAUACCAGAUCGAUAGUGCACAAGUACCGUGAGGGAAAGGUGAAAAGAACUGAGGUGAUCAGAGUGAAAUAGAACCUGAAACCAUUUGCUUACAAUCAUUCAGAGCACUAUGUAGCAAUACAGUGUGAUGGACUGCCUUUUGCAUAAUGAGCCUGCGAGUUGUGGUGUCUGGCAAGGUUAAGCAAACGCGAAGCCGUAGCGAAAGCGAGUCUGAAUAGGGCGCUUAGUCAGAUGCUGCAGACCCGAAACGAAGUGAUCUAUCCAUGAGCAAGUUGAAGCUAGUGUAAGAACUAGUGGAGGACUGAACCCGCUAGCGUUGAAAAGCUAUGGGAUGACUUGUGGAUAGGGGUGAAAGGCCAAUCAAACUUCGUGAUAGCUGGUUCUCUCCGAAAUAUAUUUAGGUAUAGCGUUGUGUCGUAAUAUAAGGGGGUAGAGCACUGAAUGGGCUAGGGCAUACACCAAUGUACCAAACCCUAUCAAACUCCGAAUACCUUAUAUGUAAUCACAGCAGUCAGGCGGCGAGUGAUAAAAUCCGUCGUCAAGAGGGAAACAACCCAGACUACCAGCUAAGGUCCCUAAAUCUUACUUAAGUGGAAAACGAUGUGAAGUUACUUAAACAACCAGGAGGUUGGCUUAGAAGCAGCCAUCCUUUAAAGAAAGCGUAAUAGCUCACUGGUCUAGUGAUUUUGCGCGGAAAAUAUAACGGGGCUAAAGUAAGUACCGAAGCUGUAGACUUGCACACAACUUAGAUUAUUUAAGUUUAGAAUAUGAGAAACUAAGUUAACUAAGUUAUAUGUUUAGUUAUAUUUUUACUGAUUUUUAUAGAGUAAAGAUAAAAACAAAAACUUCGUAAAAAUAAUAAAAUAUAGUAAAAAACAAUAAAAAUAUUCUUAGAUUAAAAGUUAAGUCAUUUAAGUUGUGUGCAAGUGGUAGGAGAGCGUUCUAUUUGCGUCGAAGGUAUACCGGUAAGGAGUGCUGGAGCGAAUAGAAGUGAGCAUGCAGGCAUGAGUAGCGAUAAUUAAUGUGAGAAUCAUUAACGCCGUAAACCCAAGGUUUCCUACGCGAUGCUCGUCAUCGUAGGGUUAGUCGGGUCCUAAGUCGAGUCCGAAAGGGGUAGACGAUGGCAAAUUGGUUAAUAUUCCAAUACCAACAUUAGUGUGCGAUGGAAGGACGCUUAGGGCUAAGGGGGCUAGCGGAUGGAAGUGCUAGUCUAAGGUCGUAGGAGCUUAUACAGGAAAAUCCGUAUAAGAACACUCCGAGAACUGAAAGGCUUUUUGAAGUCUUCGGAUGGAUAGAAGAACCCCUGAUGCCGUCGAGCCAAGAAAAGUUUCUAAGUUUAGCUAAUGUUGCCCGUACCGUAAACCGACACAGGUGGGUGGGAUGAGUAUUCUAAGGCGCGUGGAAGAACUCUCUUUAAGGAACUCUGCAAAAUAGCACCGUAUCUUCGGUAUAAGGUGUGGUUAGCUUUGUAUUAGGAUUUACUCCGAAAGCGAAGAAACUUACAACAAAGAGUCCCUCCCGACUGUUUACCAAAAACACAGCACUCUGCUAACUCGUAAGAGGAUGUAUAGGGUGUGACGCCUGCCCGGUGCUCGAAGGUUAAUUGAUGGGGUUAGCAUUAGCGAAGCUCUUGAUCGAAGCCCGAGUAAACGGCGGCCGUAACUAUAACGGUCCUAAGGUAGCGAAAUUCCUUGUCGGUUAAAUACCGACCUGCAUGAAUGGCGUAACGAGAUGGGAGCUGUCUCAAAGAGGGAUCCAGUGAAAUUGUAGUGGAGGUGAAAAUUCCUCCUACCCGCGGCAAGACGGUAAGACCCCGUGGACCUUUACUACAGCUUGACACUGCUAUUUGGAUAAGAAUGUGCAGGAUAGGUGGGAGGCUUUGAGUAUAUGACGCCAGUUGUAUAGGAGCCAUUGUUGAGAUACCACUCUUUCUUAUUUGGGUAGCUAACCAGCUUGAGUUAUCCUCAAGUGGGACAAUGUCUGGCGGGUAGUUUGACUGGGGCGGUCGCCUCCCAAAUAAUAACGGAGGCUUACAAAGGUUGGCUCAGAACGGUUGGAAAUCGUUCAUAGAGUAUAAAGGUAUAAGCCAGCUUAACUGCAAGACAUACAAGUCAAGCAGAGACGAAAGUCGGUCUUAGUGAUCCGGUGGUUCUGUGUGGAAGGGCCAUCGCUCAAAGGAUAAAAGGUACCCCGGGGAUAACAGGCUGAUCUCCCCCAAGAGCUCACAUCGACGGGGAGGUUUGGCACCUCGAUGUCGGCUCAUCGCAUCCUGGGGCUGGAGCAGGUCCCAAGGGUAUGGCUGUUCGCCAUUUAAAGCGGUACGCGAGCUGGGUUCAGAACGUCGUGAGACAGUUCGGUCCCUAUCUGCCGUGGGCGUAAGAAGAUUGAAGAGAUUUGACCCUAGUACGAGAGGACCGGGUUGAACAAACCACUGGUGUAGCUGUUGUUCUGCCAAGAGCAUCGCAGCGUAGCUAAGUUUGGAAAGGAUAAACGCUGAAAGCAUCUAAGCGUGAAGCCAACUCUAAGAUGAAUCUUCUCUAAGCUCUCUAGAAGACUACUAGUUUGAUAGGCUGGGUGUGUAAUGGAUGAAAGUCCUUUAGCUGACCAGUACUAAUAGAGCGUUUGGCUUAUCUUUAUAAAGCAU
rnacentral:rRNA from 1 species